CAAUGCCUCCCCUCUCUUCCCUCCACUCAUCUCCGCCGGGCUAAAAUUCCGACCAGAGUCCGUUCGGUGAUCGGAAUCUCAUGAAGUCUCAUCUCUGAACUCCGAAACCUUUCGAAAUCACUGCGCUCUGUAGUUCAUCUGCCUCCAAUGGCUUCCAAGGACCCUGAAGAGGCCGCCAACACUGCCACUGAGGAAGAAACCCUGGCCUUCAACAAGAAGCGGGCUCGCCGAGUGAGCUUUGCCGACGUCGAGAUCACUUCCGUGCACAUCUUCAAGCGCGACGAGGACUACGAGACGCCUCCCGAGCCCCUUGCUACUCCCGAGGUUGCUCCUCCGGACAACGAGGUUCUAGGGUUCUUCAGGGAUUUGGUUGAUAGCGAUGAUUCCCGUGAAUCUUCGCCUAAUGUGGAUGAUGACGUUAUUGGGCAGAGGAAAUCGUUUCUGAGGCCGCUUGGGUCGCCGUCGCCGGGGAGUAGUACUGUUGGCUCCGCAGCCUCCAACGAUGAGGACAAUUUUUUCGGACCUGUAUCAGCGAAUUUCAUUCGACCCGGGCGGUUGUCUGAUUCUGCUGCCUCUGAUGAGAACCAUGAUGUUACAAUGGAUUCAACAGCAUUUUCGAUGCAUUUUCGUAGCCUUGCCGGGUCAGAUUCUGGGAGAGAUCUUAAGACUCCUACGGCCACUCGGCUUAACUUUGGAGAGAGAACACCGACCCAGAAUACCACCCCAUCUAACACUGACAGUUUUAUGGCACUGACGAAAGCUAAAAAGCUGAUUUCUCCAUCUUUGCAAUCUGGUGACGUGGUGAGAAGUAAAGAUUCUAAUGCAAUGAGUAUCGUGGGAGAGAWCUCUCAUAAAUUUGAUUAUGGGAGAUUAUCUCCCGCGUUAGAUGCACUUUUGACUGAAGGAAGCAGGGAUCUCUAUGCUAUUUCGGUUGAUGAAAGACUGCCCAAACACAAUGAGACUCGCGAAGUUGAUCAUAUUGUACAUCACAACUAUGAUGAGGAAAUCUCUGGGAGAACUGAAAUGGAAAAUGGAAUCAAAGAAUACGCUAAACAUGCAGUUGAGAAAAGUAUACUCAAUAAUGGCACACCCCAUAAAGUUUUUCAAUCCAAUGGUUUGUUAGAAGGAAAUUUGUCAGAUGGGUGGGCUAAGGAGGACUUUCUGAUGGAUAGAAGGCAUGAAACAAUGAAAGGCAUUGACUAUAARCUCAAAGAUAUAUCUCCACUAAAUAAUAGAUCUUUAUCUGCUGAACGCAAAACAUCUUUUGCUACUUUUAGUUCACCUGCCCUUGCUGCUCUUGUGACUCCUAACUCAAAGCUGCCAGAUUAUAGAAUGAGCACAGGAAGCAUGAAGUUUGGCAAGGAACUGUCGUCCAAGCAGAAAAGUAUUUCCAAGUUCAGACUUCCUGAACCGUCUCCAUGUAUUUCGAGUAUUAAAGAAGGGAUUGACAGAUUGAAAUCCAGACUAUCAAGUUACUCUUCUAUGGCUAACUUGAGUGGUCAACCUGAUCGUUGCAAGGAUCUCGAAUGCAAAUACACAGAUAUUCCUGUUGUGCGUUUGGAAGAACAACUUUUCAGUUCCAAUGGGAACAAUGGUGAAUUUGAAAGUUCAUUUAGCAUUGAUGGUAGCCGAGUCAAGACUUCAAAAGACUUGCCUAGGUUGAGCCAAAGUGAAGAGCCAAAAGGUUCUACUGAGGCUGGAGAAACUCCAGGCUAUAUGACUAUGGCAAAUCUUUCCAAUGUGCAACCUAGUAAGCUAGCUAUAGAAGCAAAGUCACCCGCUCAAGUUACUUGGUCUGAGAAAAAAGAUGUUAUGCCGCAUAUCUUGAUGCCAGAAAAUCGUUUGUUGGGGUCUUGUACUAGUAUUGAAAUUGAUGCCUUGUCAUUGGACAUUAUACCUGAUGACAGAGAACAGAAUAACUCUACUAGUAUACAUGAUACGCUUGUUUCAUCUCCUUUGGAUGGUUUAGACGUGAGGUUUUUAGGAGCCACUGAAUGUUCGACUAGUUGCUUUGGUGAACUGAAGCAGGGUGACCAACAAGUGAAGCAUGUCAGUGCCUGUCUAAUGCAAGGAGGAGAUGCAGCUGCACAUACUAGCAAUACCAGUCCUCUGAUUUUCGAAGUUGACAAAUCAAGUUCACUGCAACCCAAAAGUGAACCUGUGUCAACUUCACCGUUACUUAAAGCUCCAUCUUUGGUUGAUGGGGCUGAUAAUGGAGGACACCUUUCAAAUUUGCAGCAUAGUUCUGAAGCCUUUAGCAAUUUGCUACUAUCUUCAAGGGAUGGGAGCAUCCUGAAGUCUCGAUUGGCAAGUGAUGCUAAGAACUCCAUGGUUAAUGCUUUUCCACUGCAGUUUCAGAAGGCUCAGACAGGUGGACCAUCCAUUCUGCAGAGUCCUUUCAGUGGAAUGCCAAACUACAGUCCCAGAAGGUUAAUUUCAUUUCAGACCUCGUCUGGCAAGAAAAAGACUGAGAAUCCCAUCUCUGGUAAGUCAAUUCUGAGUCCCUUGAAGAACGAACAAUCUCAGAGUUCUGCAAGGAAAAAGCCAUUUCAAAGUCCCUUGAGAAAUGAGAAUUUUAGUGAAACGAAAGAUGAUGUGACCUCUAUGAGGGAAGKAAUGGGUUCUCCAACAUCCAGUUUUAGUGGACAUGUUACUUAUGAUUUUGAUCAAGCAAGCCACAUAUCGGAGAGUUCUUCAAGGAAUCACAGCCUUUCUGGGAGCAAGAGAAGAAACAUUGACAUGAUUCCUCUUGAAGGAGAUCAUGAUGACAUAAUACUAAGGAAUCAGGAGAGCCCAAAAGUUAAGCGUGGUGGAAGUUGUGAUGUGGACUCUCCAGUGGAAGGGUUCAACGAAAUGAGCAACGGAAGCAAAAAGAUAGAGGGUAGUAGAAAUAGAGCAUUUACGGAUUGGACAGAUAUGUCAAGAAAAUUUUCAGCAGAUAUAAAAGAUUUGCUACCCCCAUUGAUCAAUGGUUUGAACUCAAAAACGCUUGAGAAGCUUGAAGAUACUUUGGUUCACCUUUUGAAGAUUAAAGAAUAUGAACUUCUUUGUUCUGAAAUCCAGUCUCAGAAAGUAACUGAGAAUCUCGGAGCAAUGCGUAAAAGGGUAGUGGAAGCUAGAUCGAUGAUGUAUAAAGUAGCAUAUAAUAAGGCAAAGCUUCAGUUGGUGUGUGCAAAGCGUGAUGGAUAUCAGAAUAGAGCACAGUCAUUGAGCUUUCAUGUUGAGGAUUUUAAAACGUUGAAAUUGAAMUAUGAAAAAAUCACAGAACGUGGUUCAAAGAGCAGUCAAGUUGAUGACAGAAAUGGCCUUUCAUGCCCAAAUGAUUCUGAGGCGUCCUGUGAUAGAGUCAGCAUGAUGAAGCAAGCAUUUGAAUCCUUGGAUGGGAAAAUAAAGGUAUUAAGCAGAUAUUUUUCAACAUACUGUAAGUUGAAGGGAGAAACAAGUUCGACCAACAUCCUUGCCUCAGUUAUUGAUCAUCUCGGGAAUAGGAGGCUCUGCAGGUCUAUUUACCAGGAUUUGCAGAUGUGGAGAGUAGAUGAUUUUGAGAAAAAGAAUGAUCAUUACACCGUUCUUCUCAACUACCUUAGUUACGCCUGCCAAAGGAUUACAGUUAAAGCCAAUCCAUUGACGAGUGUAACCAUCGUAAAUACAAUUAAUGAUACUCACAUAGAGAAGAACUUUCCAGAAAUGAAUGCUUGCAGUGCAUUUGCUUUCGUGUUAAAUGUUAAGAGGACAAGGAAGUGUAUUGCCUCCAGGCAUUUGUCCGAGGAAACUCAAACCACGAGUUCUUUUCUCCACAACCUGCUGGAUGUGAUUGAGGAAAUGCAGAUGGCCCAGAUAGAGAUUUCAAGUCUAACUCUAACAAGAUUUCACUCUCUAUCAGACGAGCAUCUUGAUCUGAAACUUAGUUUUAUUGACUUCCCAAGUGGCCGGACGGUAAACCUGAUUCUGAAUGUAUCAGAUUUGAAUCGAGGAAUUUAUCCUUCAGAAGUUCUUCCGCAUAAGAUUGAGUCUCCUGCUUCUACUCAGUACACACUCUCAGAGUCACUGUUAAAUGACAUUAGAACUGCAGUUGGAAAUUUAGAUGCUGGAUAUUCAAGGAUUUUAAGAAUUUGUAGAUGUGUUUCAGAGGUUGUGCAAAGUUCAUCAAGCCAAUAAUAAUGGUUUCUCGGUAGUUUUGAAAGCUACUUGUAGUUGCAACAUGAUUGUACAAUUUAAUCUCGUCAGGAGGAUCAGGUUGGAGCAACACCACAAGGUUAAAGCUACAAGUGCAUGGGCUUCAUCACGCAUGAUCAUUCAAAAUUAGGUGUAAAAAAAUUCAUAAGAUUUUAAAUUCCGGUAGGUGGCCACCACGGUGCUUUUCCUCUAAUUUCAAUGAUCACUAGACCAGCUCACGGUAUAUAAUAAUGGGAGAGAAAGGGAGAAGGACAAAGCACUUUUGCACACUUUUUGGGUUGGUGGGGUUGAAUGCUUCAUUGUUGAAUCUUUGAUGUCUUUUCUUUGUUUUCAAAGUAGGCCUCUGAUUCCCCACAUUAGCAUUAUCUCUCUCUCUCUCUCUCUCUCUCUCUAACCUUUUUGAGCUAUGAAGAUAUAGCAUCUAAGGACUAAGGAGCAGGCUUUUGAAGAAGAUCUAUUGCAAACGACAAGUCGUUUCUCCUUUGUCGUUUUUUUUUUCUUCCUGUUCAUUUUGUUCUCUUGCUUUCAAACAUGACCUUAGUAGAAGAGCUUUUCAAGUGGGAUUUACUGUUUGUUGUAAAGUUUUGAAUGAUCAUUUCAGGUUUAUAUUAUUGAUGAGAACAAUAAUAUGACAUGAAGAUGUAGACAUCAAA